CUCGGGGCGCUGGGGCCGCGGCGCUUCCUGGGCGCGGAAGUGAAGCUGCGGUUUGCGGAGCGACCCAGAGCUACCUUAGAACGAGCGAUGUCGCCCAGAAUCUGCCCGAAGGCCUCAGACGUCCACCCUGGUGCAGCUAGCAGUUUCCUGGAAUUUUACAGAAAUUUCGUUCUCCGAAACACCCGAGAUUUUGGUUUUCAAAAAUAAUUCAGGAAUGCAGAUCCUCCCUCUCCUUGCACGCGGUGCUUGGGAGCUCAAGUCCAACGGCACUGAAAGAGGACUUGCCAGUCCUCCCCCCCCAGUUCAGCGGGAGGUCGGGGAGGUGGUUAGAGACCACACCUUCCCUCGAGGCGGUACCUUAGAGACCGAGGCUCUUGAGUGGCAAUCUCUGUGUUACCACCUCGUGCUUCCAAAAAGAUGACCCAAAACAAACAAACAAACAAAAAAAAAAGAUGACCCGAGGCCAGAGUCAGGGAAGAGAGCAUGGAGAAAGUAGGUGAGCUUUACCCUGAAGAAGCCCUAAGAUGGUCUGUGGCCACCAUCUCCCUAGCUCCCAGCGCUGCCAGUACUCUUCUGGGACUUGAGAUUGUCUUCAAAAAAAGAAAACAAACAAAAAAACCCUGCCAUUUAGCAGGAAGAGAAAUCCUGUCUUUGUGAUAUAUAUUGAAAAUGAAAAAAAAAAAAAAUGAAGCUCCCCAAUUCCAAUAAGUUAACAUUUGUGACCUCACUGUGUGCCAAAA